UUACGGCCAUAUCGCGUUGAAACACCGGUUCUCGUACGACCACCGAAAUUAAACAACAACAGUACCUCGAUGGAUAACCGCUUGGGAAUACCAGGUGCUGUAA